UGGGGAAUAUUGCACAAUGGGCGGAAGCCUGAUGCAGCGACGCCGCGUGAGGGAUGACGGCCUUCGGGUUGUAAACCUCUUUCAGCAGGGACGAAGCGUAAGUGACGGUACCUGCAGAAGAAGCACCGGCUAACUACGUGCCAGCAGCCGCGGUAAUACGUAGGGUGCGAGCGUUGUCCGGAAUUACUGGGCGUAAAGAGCUCGUAGGCGGUUUGUCACGUCGUCUGUGAAAUCCUAGGGCUUAACCCUGGACGUGCAGGCGAUACGGGCUGACUUGAGUACUACAGGGGAGACUGGAAUUUCUGGUGUAGCGGUGGAAUGCACAGAUAUCAGGAAGAACACCGAUGGCGAAGGCAGGUCUCUGGGUAGUAACUGACGCUGAGGAGCGAAAGCAUGGGUAGCGAACAGGAUUAGAUACCCUGGUA
rnacentral:rRNA from 1 species